rnacentral:lncRNA from 1 species
GCCCUGCUCUGGAGCAGCUCCAAGUUCAAGAGUAGUGGUGGGCGGGUAAACAAACUAAAAACAAACCCUCGGAACUAAGGCAGCGCCUGCAGAAGGAAAGCCAAGCUGGGUGUGGGGAGGGUGGCGCUGUGGAGGGAGCCUGGUCAGGCCAGCUGCCUGGAAGGGGAAGACCAUCCGGGCAGCUAGAUCUGGGGGAAGUGUGCGGACUGCUCCUCUGCACCAAGGAGAAGAAGAAGAAGAAGAAGAAGAAGAAGGAAAAGACGCUCUAGUGGAGAGAAGAGCUGGAACAGAGCAUAGGGCUAGGAGAAGCUGAGCCAGAUCAAUUCAAAACAAGCAGGAUGAAGCUAGGAAGGCCAACGAGGACCAGGUGUUGGAGGCGUGCCACCCCUGAGGAAAGGCCUCACCCCCAGCCCUGAGCCAUGGAGACACCCGUCACCUGAGUCAUCGAUCACUUAUGACACAACUGAAUUAGGUUGUGUGAUGUGCCUACCCAUGAGGGUGAGGUUUAUAAACAACAAAGAUGAAGCCAAGCUAGAAACCACCUGAGGUUUUUCCUACGUUUCCAGAUUUUUCAUAGCAAUCACAUUUCUGAGAGAACACAGCUACGAAGUUGGCAUAGGUUGGCUGCCCUUAUUUAAGGGAUCCCCCUUCAGAAACAAAAUAAGGAAUCUACAUGACAGACCUCAUCGCUUAACUGCAAAGACUGACCUUUCUCAGAAUGACAACUCUUGGAGUACCAGUGAAGUAGUUCCACGCUUCCCUGAACACACCAAGUCAUUGCUCUCUGCUAGAGCCGAGACUAUUGCUGCCAUAGGUCCGUCAAGGGUCCGGGACAUGCCACUCCUCCACAAGGACAAGUUCCAUGACUCCAGCCCUCACCUGAGAUGUGACCUUAGCAUAUGCAUUUUCCAAAGGGCCGCUGUUCUUCAUUCACCCCUUGGAGACAAGAUGGCAUCUCCAGGAUCUGAUUUCGAGGCCACCUGCUUGAGGAAGCCCCUCUACUCUGCAACUCUGCGACUGCUGCCCACCCCUGGUUCCCUCAGCCAUCACAUCUUUACCACACUGGGGGAGAAACAGCUUGGGGACUGGCCUGUCACUGCCACCAGGAGGUGAAGCUGUGGAUCUCUAGUAACAUACCUGCCACUGGCUUAAUAUUCAGAAAAUUCUGUGGAAGCUGGGGGAGGGAGGGAGGGAAGGAGCGAGAGAGAAAGGGAGGAAAGAAGAAAGGAGAAAGGAAAGGACAUUGGAAUGAUGUGGCCUUUGAGGCAAAGAAAUUGAGUGGGGAAUAUGGAGGAGUGAUAGGCUAUCCCGAGCUCCUGGAACAUCCUGAAGAAGGAGCAGUCACAGACAGCCUGAAUCAACAUUUCAGGCUAAAAUCAGACAGGCAGCCAGUUCUAGCCAACAGGCUCUGCCACACACUCACUGCAAGAUGCUAGAUGAGUCCUUUCCUCUGAGGAAAGCAUCAGCUUCCUCCUUGAAAAAUGCAUGGUUGGUUGGUUGGUUGGAUUAUUUAUUUACUUAUUUAUUUAAAAAUGUGUGGUUAAGCUGGACUCUCUGGCUUCUGCCAUCAAUGAGAAGAAGUUUAGAGAGAGCAGUACUGCCCGGAUCCACGGGACCCUGAGCAACUUCUCUGCCUCAAACCCAAUCCUAAUCUUUCUGCUUGUUGUUUAGACUGAGAGAGCUCGUGAUUGGGUUGAUGAAGGAGCUUCCCAGACCUGAGAUUUCACCAAUUAAUACCAAAGCUCAUCUCAGCAUUUAAAGGGCCAAACCAGCCACAGCAAACGAAAACUGUUGGGGAACGAUCAGGAGUUUUCUAGGUCACAACUGUCAGUCUCUCCAUUAAUCUGCUCCAUCAGCAGUGAUAAUUUAAGGUUUUGGGGAGAGGAGCCAGGGAGCAAUGGAGAGGAGGCAGGGCUGCCUUCAUCACACACCAGUGUCUCCCUCAGUGAAUCAGUCCUCACCAGGCACAGAUGCUGAAGUAGGGCAGUCUGUGGGCACGUACGAGUUGUGAAGGUUGCACACGAGGCAGGAAACAUAGGUAGACAGCCCACCCUCUGCUCUCACCUCCCUCGGCAACAAAUCAGGUGUUCAUUUCCUGCAGCUAAAUAUUACACCUGAUAAAAGGGAAUGACACGUUAACCAGGAACCGUGCCCUCAGAUUAUGUCAUUUACUUUUGAAAAUAUCAGAUAAAACACAGGAACAUCUUCAGAAGAUAAUGUUAAGGGAAGGACCAAGAUAUACAUUUAUAUUUAUAAUGUGGAUAUAAUUAUGCAAACAAAAGCAAAAAUCCUAGAAGCCUGUAUGAAAGGACGAAUGACAGCAUAGAGAUCUCUCUGGCUGGUAGAGUAAUUAUCAUAGAAAAUUUCUAUUACGUCCACUUUUCUUAUUUUUCUUAAAAAUGCCUAUAUUUUGGGGCACCUGGGUGGCUCAGUCGGUUAAGCGUCUGCCUUUGGCUCAGGUCAUGAUCCCAGGAUCCUGGGACUGAGCCCCGCAUCGGGCUCCCUGUUCAAUGGAGAGCCUGCUUCUCCCUCUGCCUGCGCUCUC